rnacentral:rRNA from 1 species
GAUGAACGCUGGCGGCGUGCUUAACACAUGCAAGUCGAGCGAUGAAGUUUCCUUCGGGAAACGGAUUAGCGGCGGACGGGUGAGUAACACGUGGGUAACCUGCCUCAUAGAGUGGAAUAGCCUUCCGAAAGGAAGAUUAAUACCGCAUAAUGUUGAAAGAUGGCAUCAUCAUUCAACCAAAGGAGCAAUCCGCUAUGAGAUGGACCCGCGGCGCAUUAGCUAGUUGGUGGGGUAACGGCCUACCAAGGCGACGAUGCGUAGCCGACCUGAGAGGGUGAUCGGCCACAUUGGGACUGAGACACGGCCCAGACUCCUACGGGAGGCAGCAGUGGGGAAUAUUGCACAAUGGGGGAAACCCKGAUGCAGCAACGCCGCGUGAGUGAUGAAGGUUUUCGGAUCGUAAAGCUCUG